rnacentral:rRNA from 1 species
AUUGAACGCUGGCGGCAUGCUUUACACAUGCAAGUCGAACGGUAACAGGCCGCAAGGUGCUGUCGAGUGGCGAACGGGUGCGUAAUGCAUCGGAACGUGCCCAGUCGUUGGGGAUAACUACUCGAAAGAGUAGCUAAUACCGCAUACGAUCUAUGGAUGAAAGCGGGGGACCGCAAGGCCUCGCGCGAUUGGAGCGGCCGAUGUCAGAUUAGGUAGUUGGUGGGGUAAAGGCUCACCAAGCCAACGAUCUGUAGCUGGUCUGAGAGGACGACCAGCCACACUGGGACUGAGACACGGCCCAGACUCCUACGGGAGGCAGCAGUGGGGAAUUUUGGACAAUGGGCGCAAGCCUGAUCCAGCAAUGCCGCGUGCAGGAAGAAGGCCUUCGGGUUGUAAACUGCUUUUGUACGGAACGAAACGGCUCUGGUUAAUACCCGGGGCUAAUGACGGUACCGUAAGAAUAAGCACCGGCUAACUACGUG